GGUCCAGGACAGAAAAUACUGAAUAGACAGGAAUUUCUGAAGUCUAAACGCCUCCAAUGAUAACAGGAGUGUUAUUGGAAAGGGAACAAGCGAGAAGACACAGUCUUCGAGGAGUUAAGUUUUGCUAAUCUAAUGCCACGUGCACAGUAAGAAGCUGGCAAGAUGGGCCAAUCAACUGGGAAGCCUAUUUGCAUAAGAAGAUUAGGGUGGGGCGACCAGCCUUCCCCACGCACUAUGUAAACGUCAUAACUGAUCGAACCAAUCUAUGACCCCUAUGUAAAUCAGACACUGCCUCCUCAAACUGGUCUGUAAAACUCAGCACAUUCACUGCCAGCCGACCCUUUUCCGCUCGGAGACCCCUUCCUCUAUGGAGGAACCCGUUUCUCUUUCUCUUCUUCCUAUUAAACCUCCGCUCCUAAACUGA
rnacentral:lncRNA from 1 species